CGGGGUUUUGGGGGCGAGAUGA
rnacentral:miRNA from 3 species